rnacentral:rRNA from 1 species
CCUACGGGGGGCAGCAGUGGGGAAUAUUGGACAAUGGGGGCAACCCUGAUCCAGCCAUGCCGCGUGUGUGAAGAAGGCCCUCGGGUUGUAAAGCACUUUCAGUGAGGAAGAACGCCUGGUGGUUAAUACCCAUCAGGAAAGACAUCACUCACAGAAGAAGCACCGGCUAACUCCGUGCCAGCAGCCGCGGUAAUACGGAGGGUGCGAGCGUUAAUCGGAAUUACUGGGCGUAAAGCGCGCGUAGGUGGCUUGAUAAGCCGGUUGUGAAAGCCCCGGGCUCAACCUGGGAACGGCAUCCGGAACUGUCAAGCUAGAGUGCAGGAGAGGUAGGUAGAAUUCCCGGUGUAGCGGUGAAAUGCGUAGAGAUCGGGAGGAAUACCAGUGGCGAAGGCGGCCUUCUGGACUGACACUGACACUGAGGUGCGAAAGCGUGGGUAGCAAACAGGAUUAGAUACCCUUGUAGUC